AGAUGCUUACAUCAUAGCAUUAAUUCAAUGGAUCCCAUUAGAAAUCUAUUGUUAAGCAUGCACAUGAUAGAGUAGUACUAGGAUGGGUGACCACCCAGGAAGUCCUAGUGUUUUACAUGCC
rnacentral:rRNA from 1 species